UUAGCAAAUUUUUCUCAGUGUUUUUUAGAAACAAUUAAGUAAAGAAGAUCAGAUUAAACGAUAAUUCUUACCGGUCUUAACGAAAUCGUGAGAAUAACAUUUCCAUCUGUGUGAAUAGCCAUGAAGCUAUUCUUACCCAACCUCGUUAAAUCAUCUGUUCGAUUAAACUUGAAUCUGUUUAUCAUUUUAAACUAGUUGUGUUGUUCAAUUGGAUUAUUAAGUUAAAUUUUAAAAUCUUGUUGAUUUGAUCCAAAAUUUUUCUGAAUUGUGUAUCAAUAAGUGUUGAGUAAUCAUCUUAAACUCACCAAAUAAACAUCUAUUUUUCGUCGUUCUUUUCAAUCUAUUCGUUUUUUCUGAUUAAGUUUCUAAGCAUCAUAACUAAUCUCCUACUAUGUCAAUCGAAUCAGGAAAACAAGAGUCAACAAAGACUAAUGAAAAUGAGAAAAAGCUCAAACCUUGUUGUGCUUGUCCUGAAACUAAACAAGCUCGGGAUGAAUGUAUUAUCCAACGUGGUGAAGAACAUUGUCAUGACCUGAUUGAAGCUCACAAAAAGUGCAUGAGAGAUCUUGGUUUCAAAAUUUAACAUUUGAAGAGUCUCGAUUUCAAAAUUAGUUUGUAUUUAUAAUAAUAAUGGAAAUAACAAGGUUAAUUUAUUGUAUUUGAAA